GGAGCCGCUCGCUGCAGCCUGUAGGAAGGCGGAGUUGGACAUCCAACCCCGCCCACAUCCAACUCCGCCCAUGUCCAACUCCGCCUUACGUCUAAAGCAACACCCACCUUACGUCCGUCACGAACGCCUACAUUUACUCCAGGUAAACAGGAAUUGUAGCCGAGAAAGCAGCUAAAGCAUCUAUCUGAUUUAUAUCUCCGGUUAUGGCGCAUACAGCACCAACACAUGUCCAGGCCACUCCUGACCCUUCACGGUUUGGCCAGUGUGGUGUUUUCAAAUGCCCCUGCUUCAGUUUUGACACUGACCAGCGAUUUAAUAACAGCCUACAUCUACAAAACCAUAUCAAACAAGCAGUCGAGAAUAACGGAAAGUUCAGCGUGUUGAACGUGUGACUGAUGAAGGAGAUAGAAUGGGCAACGUCUCCUUUGAACAGAUGCCCCUUAUUCUCAUAGAUACAGUUCUGGAAGAGGGGGACAAAGCUUUUUUAAAGCUGUCACUGGUUUGUCGUCUCUUCCGGGACAUUGUUUGGACAACAAUCAUUCCGGGCCCGGGCACAUUUCGAGUGGCUUGACAGUGUAGUGCCAUGAAAACAUCACAGUGCUGCAUGUAAAGACGAGUUUCGCAGGAUGUACGAACUGCAGUGCUGCCAGAACUGUCAAGAAACUUAUAAAGACUGCAUACUGGGCUACGUUGGGCAUGGGAGACGAGGGGAGCUUGUGGCAUUUUACAGCGAAAACGAGCACCCUGGAUUCUGCAGCCAGCUUCAUGAGUGGCUGGGUGUGUGAGUGGCUGGGUGUGUGAGUGGCUGGGUGUGUGAGUGGCUGGGUGUGUGAGUGGCUGGGUGUGUGAGUGGCUGGGUGUGUGAGUGGCUGGGUGUGUGAGUGGCUGGGUGUGUGAGUGGCUGGGUGUGUGAGUGGCUGGGUGUUGCAUUUUUAAAUAAAGACUUCUGUAUUUGUUUGACCAAAGCAUGUAACCAAACAUUUUAAAGGCUAGUGUGCCAAUAAAUGCCAAUAAAGAUAUUGUAUUAGCUUGGACAAAGUGUUUGUAAAUGGAGUUAAUUUCCCUGGGAACUACUGUCAGCCAUACAAAAUUGGGAGAGGAGAAGCAGGAAAGGGAUAUUAUUAUUAUUAUUAUUAUUAUUAUUAUUAUUAUUAUUAUUAUUAUUAUUAUUAUUAUUGACAAAAUAGCUAUGUAUACAUACAUUUUUAAUUUCUGAAACCACAGCAUUUGAUAUAUUGUACUCUAUCGUUAUACACUAUCCAGCAUACCAUUAUUACCACCUGCUUGUUUCUGCUUCUAUUAUUCUUUUUUUAGCUCCAAUUAGCAUCUAGGACACUUUAGUUGCAUAAUGGUUUACUGGUGUAUAAUAUACAAUA